GGCACUAUAUUAUCUAUUGCAACGGUUCUGUUUUUAAUAAAUCAUUGUUGCAAACACAAUAGACCAUAUCAAAUGACAUUGCACUCACAUAUAUUAAUUUAUACUCAAUCAUUAUCCAAUAGUCCGACAAAUGAUUCAAAUAGUAGUUAAAAUGACAAAUGAAGUUCUCUCAUUAUUCCAAAAAUUUUAAAAAUUUUCAACUAGACUAGACUUCCUAACAUCUAUGCAGCCCGUGAGAUGAGUUUUCUUUCAGCGCCACAUGUCAUCAUCUCACCAAUGUUGUUGCUUGACGAGCCUCCCUCUGAAAUCUUGUAUACCUACUGCCAAAAGAGUAAGAUUAAGAUAUUAGAAAACCUCUAUGUUUAGUACUUCAUGCCCAAAAUAUAAAUUCAGAACUUAGGAAAUUAUAUAUGCAUGUGAGACAAGAAAAAAUUAAGAAUAUGCUCAAGUACAGCUCUAGACCAAAUGUGUAGUGGACUAUAAAAUUAUAAUUACUUGUCUAGACAAUGGAAAUUACAAAAACUACCACAUUCUGCAUAUAUUUCCCAUGAGGUGGCAAUGAUUUUCUGUAGACAAAGAAAAUCAUAAUUACUCCACCGACAAAAAUAAUUAUGUGGUUACUAACAAUAUUCCCUAUUGAUUUUUGAAAAUCCAGAAUUGGUUGUUCAGUUGUUCUGGGUUAUUACUGUUGUGUAGCACAAAGUACAGAAAGAAAGUAGAUCAGUUCUCCCUGAAUCUUGUAGCUUCUUUCAGUUAACUCUAACAGGAAACUAUUAAAAAAAAGAACAGCUACCCCUACUUCCUACAUCUUCUGCUUCCUUUUCCACAUCCUCUGCAAAAGAAACCUGGCCAGCAACCACCCUGGUUAAAAAAGUUAGGUGAUUCAAAUUGAUCUCCAGUAGUUUGUAUGUUGCAUAUUUACACUGAUUUUUUACACAUGAUUAGUUUUCAGAUGUUUGUUUUGAUUAAAAAAGAAAUCACUCUGUAGCCAUUCUAAUACAAAGAUAGCAAGAUAGUGAAAACAGGACGUGACAGAGCCAAAACGAUCACCUAAUGUAUGUGAAAGGUGCAACUUUUAUUCAUAACAAUUCUUGUGGAGGUCAGCUUCACAAUUGCAUCUUAAACCUAAGCCAUUAACUGCUAGUAAUAUAAAUUUUACAAUGUAGUAGUACUCAAUCAUUUAAGCACUUCAUAUGAGACAAAAAGAUUAGCAAACUAGAAAGAAUCUGCACACUGACUGUACGACCUGGAAGUGCUUUCUGAUGUGGAGUUCACCAAAUCCCAUUUUCCUGUAUGAGCAUUGAGAUUGCCUUUCCCGUGAACGACAUAAACCAAGACAUCUACAACUAUAAGAUAGAAUGACAUACUAGCAGGGCAGGUUACCAGCAGUCUAGCAGUUAAUAAAUGCAACGACUAUCUAUUACUAGCAGUCUUUCAUAUGAGAAAGAAUAUGUUUUGCAAGAGCUACAUAAAUUAACUUAGAAUUCAAUCCCAAAUUAGUAAGAUCUGGAGAAUAAAGAUGCCUAAUAACAUGAGCUUCAUAUUCAUUCACGAAUCUUCACAUUUACAGAACAUAGAUAGCUAAUAUAAUCUUAACAUACCUAAUUUAAUCUUAACAUAGGCUCACCUUGUGCCAUGUAGCGAAGGUGACCCACCUCAUUGGAUCCAGAUCAUUUGUUAAUGUGUCAGUUAUUAAAGGCAAUAUUUUCCUUUUCUUGUGGGAGUGUGUGGUGUGUGUUUUAUACACGGUUUUUGCACUUUUUUCAACUUAUAUGUGUUCCACACAAAAAUGGGAUAAUAACAGAUUAAAUGAAAACAGUUAAACAACAGCAGUUAAAGCCGAGACUCAUCUCCACAAAUUGCCGCUAUGCAAGAUAACUUGCUAAACCUGACAGAUCAUAAGCCAAUCCUCUGUCAGGAACCCAGGACAACACCUUCUAACCCAAAAUACAUUAGACAGAGGAUUAAAAAUCCGAGGAGGCACUCACAUCGACGAUGGCACCCGCUGCCUGGGUUAGCACCGGAGAGAUGUCCAGCAGAUCACGCCUGCACAGCAGAAGAAAAACAGAAAAGUUAAGGAAUGGAGAAGUAAGGACCGAUUGAGAUAGGGUCUAGGGCAACUACAGAUGGAGAUUAUGGGGCGCCUCCUGCGGGAGCGAGACGGAUUGAAGGUAGUCCUCCAGGUUCGGGCGGUCUAGCUCCAUGUCCGCCGCCACAGACGAGCUCGCCAUCGCCUCCGGCCUCUGGCCGCCGGCCGCACGCCCGCCGCCGGUGAGAUGGCGUUGACGCAGAGGAAAAGCUAUGCGAUGGGGAGAGGCUCACCACGUGGAUGGGCGUAACGACCCGCGCGAAGCCGCCUGCCGGAUGCUCUUGCCGCCGGCCACCGCCUCGAGCAGAAGCGCCGUGCCACUAGUGCGUGAAUGAGAUUGGACACUAGGAAGACAAGCUAGGGUUUGGUGUUUUUAUAUGCAGAAGGUGGAUGUCAGAUCAUUUCAUCCAUCAGAUCGAGAAUCAACGGUUAUAAC
rnacentral:lncRNA from 1 species